GGUUUCCCUUUACGAAUUGUAGUUUAAAGAAGUGUUUUCUGUUGAGGUUUUGGUAAAAGUUCUUUGGAAUAGGACAUCAUAGAGGGUGAGAAUCCCGUAUUUGACCUUUACUUUCAACUUUGUGAUACACUUUCAAAGAGUCGGAUUGUUUGGGAAUGCAGUCCAAAAUGGGUGGUAAAUUUCAUCUAAAGCUAAAUAUUGGCGAGAGACCGAUAGCGAACAAGUACCGUGAGGGAAAGAUGAAAAGAACUUUGAAAAGAGAGUUAAACAGUACGUGAAAUUGUCAAAAGGGAAGCGUUUGACACCAGUGUUGUUUUUCUGAAAAUCAAUUAAAGAACUGUUUAUGCUAAGCUGUUUAGACUUUAUCAGCUAACUGUUUAGUUUUGAGCUUUUCUUU
rnacentral:rRNA from 1 species